rnacentral:rRNA from 1 species
GUCAACUUUUAUAAUAAGAGAUUAUUAGCAUUGURUCACAUAGUGAGUACCGUAAUGGUGAAAUAUAGCAGUUGAUAACCAACUUUGUGAAGGAUAACAUAAACAUUGAUAUUAAACAGGGAUUAGAUACCCCUCUAUACAAUAUUACUACAUAUGCGGAGCACUAAAAUUAACAAAAUUAAAACUUAAACAACAUGGCGGUAAUUUAAAUUUAGGGGAACUUAUCAAAUAAUUGAUAACCACCAAGGUAAUUAACUACAAUAAAUUCCUGUAUGCCGUCGUCGUCAGGUGACACUUAAAGAUUCACCAGAAUAAUAUAAUUUAAAAGACAGAUCAAGGUGCAGACAAUGUUGUAGGUAUGGCGAGUUACAAUUUUAAUUUUUAACAAAUUAUACAUAGCAUAUACUAUGGAGAUGGACUUAACAGUAAUAAUUAAUAGGGAUAUUUUAUGAAGCAUUAAAU